UACGAAGGGGGCUAGCGUUGCUCGGAAUCACUGGGCGUAAAGCGCACGUAGGCGGAUCCUUAAGUCGGGGGUGAAAUCCUGGAGCUCAACUCCAGAACUGCCUUCGAUACUGAGGAUCUCGAGUCCGGGAGAGGUGAGUGGAACUGCGAGUGUAGAGGUGAAAUUCGUAGAUAUUCGCAAGAACACCAGUGGCGAAGGCGGCUCACUGGCCCGGUACUGACGCUGAGGUGCGAAAGCGUGGGGAGUGAACAGG
rnacentral:rRNA from 1 species